CAGUCGCCGCGGGAAUACGUAGGUGGCAAGCGUUGUCCGGAAUUAUUGGGCGUAAAGGGCUCGCAGGCGGUUAGUCACGUCGGCUGUGAAAACCUGGGGCUCAACCCCGGGCCCGCAGCCGAUACGGGCUAACUAGAGUUCGGCAGGGGAGACUGGAAUUCCUGGUGUAGCGGUGAAAUGCGUUGAGAUCGGAAAGAACACCAACGGCGAAAGCACUCUGCUGGGCCGACACUGACACUGAGAGACGAAAGCUAGGGGAGCAAAUGGGAUUAGAUACCCGCGUAGUCCCUGUCUCUUAUAC
rnacentral:rRNA from 1 species